CCGAGUGUAGGGUUCCUAGCGAGCCCAACCUCCCACCCGUGUUUACUGUACCUUAGUUGCUUCGGCGGGCCCGCCAUUCAUGGCCGCCGGGGGCUCUCAGCCCCGGGCCCGCGCCCGCCGGAGACACCACGAACUCUGUCUGAUCUAGUGAAGUCUGAGUUGAUUGUAUCGCAAUCAGUUA
rnacentral:misc_RNA from 3 species